rnacentral:tRNA from 1 species
GCUGGAGUGGCGGAACUGGCAGACGCACCAGACUCAAAAUCUGGCGGCCCUUGCGGUCAUGGGGGUUCGACUCCCCCCUCCAGCACCA